AAUAUUGGACAAUGGGGGCAACCCUGAUCCAGCCAUGCCCCGUGUGUGAAUAAGGUCUUCGGAGUGUAAAGCACUUUAAGUUGGGAGGAAGGGCGUUACGCUAAUACCCUGAAGUUUUGACGUUACCAACAGAAUUAGACACGGCUAACUCUGUUGCAGCAGCCGCGGUAAUACAGAGGGUGCAAGCGUUAAUCGGAAUUACUGGGCGUAAAGCGCGCGUAGGUGGUUCAGUAAGAUGGGUGUGAAAUCCCCGGGCUUAACCUGGGAACUGCUUUCAUAACUGCUGAGCUAGAGUACGGUAGAGGGUAGUGGAAUUUCCUGUGUAGCGGUGAAAUGCGUAGAUAUAGGAAGGAACACCAGUGGCGAAGGCGACUACCUGGACUGAUACUGACACUGAGGUGCGAAAGCGUGGGGAGCAAAC
rnacentral:rRNA from 1 species